rnacentral:rRNA from 1 species
CCUACGGGGGGCUGCAGUGAGGAAUAUUGGUCAAUGGCCGAAAGGCUGAACCAGCCACGCCGCGUGAGGGACGACUGCCCUAUGGGUUGUAAACCUCUUUUAUAAGGGAAGAAUAGAUGCUACGUGUAGCAUGAUGCCUGUACCUUAUGAAUAAGCCUCGGCUAACUCCGUGCCAGCAGCCGCGGUAAUCCGGAGGAUGCGAGCGUUAUCCGGUUUUAUUGGGGUAAACGGGUCCGUAGUGGGUUGUUUAAGUUAGUGGGAAAACGUGGGGGCUUACCCUUGAAUUGCCAUUAAUACUGUGAGACUAGAGUGCAGACGAGGUAGGCGGAAUAAGUUAAGUAGCGGUGAAAUGCUUAGAUAUAACGAAGAACGCCGAUAGCGAAGGCAGCUUACUAGACUGCGACUGACGCUGAAGCACGAGAGCGUGGGUAGCGAACAGGAUUAGAUACCCUGGUAGUC